rnacentral:rRNA from 1 species
GAUGAACGCUGGCGGCGUGCUUAAUACAUGCAAGUCGAGCGAACGGACGAGUAGCUGGCUUCUCUGACGUUGGCGGCGGGCGGGUGAGUAACAUGUGGAGAACCUACCUUUAAGACUGGGAUCACUUCGGGUAACCGAUACUGAUUCCGACUGAUCUUUGCAUCAGCUUGUGUUAGAAGGUCUUUCCGUGAUGGAUGUCCUCGAUGGCUGUAUCCUCGCUGCAUUAGCUAGUUGGUAAGGUAACGGCGUAGCAAGGCAACCAUGCAGAGCCGACCGGACAGGGGGAUCGGCCACACAGGAACUGAGACACGGUCCAGACUCCGACGGGAGGCAGCAGUAGGGAAUCUUCCGCAAUGGGCGAAAGCCUGACGGAGCAACGCCGCGUGAGUGAUGAAGGUCUUCGGAUCGUAAAACUCUGUUAUUAGGGAAGAACAUAUGUCUAAGUAACUGUGCACAUCUUGACGGUACCUAAUCAGAAAGCCACGGCUAACUACGUG